ACUUCAACACGGGAAAACCCCUGUAAGCUUCAUAUGAUCAAGAGUUUUUCUCAAGCCAUAGCGUUCAACGGCCUUAAUGCCAUCUCGAAAACCAUCUCCAUAUACAUCAGAAGGGUCUGUUUCAAUCUGGUGCUUGAAGAACUCUCCAAGUUUCUUCUCGAAGUCCGUCUGUACACCCUUUUUGGAUGAGGGUGCUGAAGAUGACGACGAUGACGAUGAUGAUGCUGCGAUGGAUGCAAUGAUGCUACUAGAUCCUGAUGUUAUUUCUGACUCGAGCCACAUAUGAGCUAGAACCUGACAGAUGCCUUCUUCGACCUUUGGAUCAAGAGUUUGUACCCUUAAGUCGGAGGUAAGCAUGCAUCAUCUCAUGAGCCAGAAUGGAGCCAGUUAACAGUCUGCAUGCCAUAUAGGAUAAGAAUUGCAGUCACUUCACAGCGUCUAACCAGUUUGUAUGGUCCUGUAAUCAUGUCUACAAUCUUGUUUCCUGGUCCAAUUACUGGUCUUCUUAUUCGGACAAUUUGCUCUUCAGAUAGGCAGAGACCUCUGGUUUCAGCAAGGUGAUUUUUCUCGGCCUCCAUGGCUUCAUUUAAAGCUUGUCGCUCAACCAACAGCAAGGGAAUUUGUUGUUCCACUUUCAUGUUCAAACCCUCAUAGAAUUCUUGAAUAUCAAUAUAUAGUGGUUGGCAUUCGUCUGUGUCCAUUAUUGAAGUAUUCAGGCAUUCCAAACAGAGUUUCCGGCCAUCAUCUAAUGUUAUGUACUUACUAUCCUUUGGCUCCAUUCGUUCACAACUGCAGCACCUAGGAGUACGAUCAGUUUCAUGGGCAGGACAAUACUUCUGCAUCCAGAAAGGAUGGGCCCGAUAUUCAAUGUGGCCAUCUUUGUUUGUUGGAAUCUGAUCAUCAAAUACAUCACAUUUUGGAUGGAAAAGCUCCUUAUAGCAGGAUCGAUGGUAUGGGUUACCUUCAUGAACUGCAAACUUCCCAAAUGAAUGGAUAAUGUCAGUUAUCUCAUUUACUUAAAGCAUCAAAACACCUGAAGCACUGGGGGUGCCAAACAGAAUCCAUGCAACUAAGAAACCGUCCUUGACCGAUUGGAGUUUUACAUCCAGCACAAACCCUACACCUUGAAGGGAAUAUAUAUGGGGGCAUGAAAGUUGCUGGAGUACUCUCUGAGUGAACAUCUUUUACUGGAACAUUCUGACGAGGAGGUUCAUCAUUCAGACUCUCUUGUAGAGCCCGUGCAAGUUGUUCAUCUUCAUGUAAACGAUGAUCAAUAUCUACCUCAUCUCCUUCCCCUUCCGCUGAUCUUCUUCUGAUAAAGAUAAUGCAAUAGCACGAUCUAUGUCUUCAUGGUCACUGUCAUGCUCCUAUAGUGAUUAGAACCAAGUUAGCUAUAGUGAAGUACAUAAAGUAACAUCCAGUCCAUCCAUUUUUUUUUAUCAGGAAGAAGCUUUUUUGGUCCUGAAUAAUCAAGCACAGAAUUUUAUUCAUUUACUAUCUAUAGCUUACAAUAUGAAGCUUCUAACUGUCAUCUUAAAUACACAUGACUGAACAAAAGAAAGGUGAGAAAUUCAGAACUGAAAAUGGCAAUACUCAGUGAGAAAAUUUUUUAUAUGCAAUUGGCAGGAGCGAAAUUUUCUUCUGUGUCUCACAGUAUGUAUGACUUAAGAUGGCUAGUGUGGGAAGAUGAAAAGACAGGCAGAAUUGGGCCGUACAUAGGCUUUAGUGUGCCAUGCUGAGUGGCCUUCAUGGGUGUUUCCAUUGUAGUGCCCUCUUGAUACUCUAUUUACUGAACCUUUAAAAAUUUUGCUCAGCCAACCCAUGUUUUCAAGUAUUGGCAGACGAAAAUCCUUGUACCUGCACUGCAUAACAAAUUUAUU
rnacentral:sRNA from 1 species